AAAUAGGAAGCAAAAAGCAAUCAGUUUCGACCUGACGUUUGGUGAUUUCACCCCUAUUUA
rnacentral:tRNA from 1 species